GUGUUUUUAGCUCAGUGGAUAGAGCGUUUGUUUCCUAAACUGAAGAUCGUGGGUUCGACCCCUAGCUGAUG
rnacentral:tRNA from 1 species